GGAACUUCUGGAAUUCUUGGUUGGAAGUAUUGGUAAUGCUAACGCUGUCUAUCUAAUGCAGCUAGCAUUCUAGUUUAGAGUAUUUCUCAAGUUCAUGUCAAUAAUAGUAGUAGUGAAAAAAUAUAUGAAUUUACUUAAUCGAACUGAUCAUAUAUCCCUUGACAGAUAGGAAUGGUGAAAAGGAUUGAUGUAGUACCCCACUUGAUUGGAACAUUAGGCUUGGUUUGGUUUAAUCACUUAUGAACAAAAGAUAGUAAGGCACUUGUUACGCUGAUGGUUUUUCCCUUAUUCAUCUCUAUAGCAUUAUGUAAUGAUGCUCACAGUCUUUAUGGCAGAACUCUUUCAACAAACCUUUGAGGCAAUUCUCUAGAAUAACAGUUGAUAUCCUUGUUUCUUAUGUUUAUUGCAUAACCAUUCAAAUCCUUAGACUUGUAUUGUUCUUUUUGGUAAGGCUUCCUCAUAAUUUUUACUUUUCUAGCUAAUGUAGGCUGGUUUCAUUACUAAGUCUUCAUGUAGUCCCUUAAAACUUCUUAGCUUAGGCAUGAUUGAGCACUGUGGUGUCUCCUCAGUUGCGUGAGCUUUUUGAUAAUCCAUUUUACACUUGCAAAAAGCAUUUUGCCUAUAAUGAUAUUUGAAGCUUAGGUAUGUAUCCUGGCUUCUUUUACAAAAAUAUCUUGAUGCAGUCAAUGUAGUUAAAAGUUGAUGGCUAACAUGAUGUUACUAAGUAAUCUAUAAAUUUGUACCUCACCCAAGAGUAAUCAGAUAUGAAAAGCAAUAACAUGGAUAGAACAUUGACAAGAAGCUCAAAGCCAUAGCUGGUUUUGGUUUCAAAACAUUAAAAUGCAUGGACAAUGUACCCAAAAAAAAUUGACAAUUUAACGGUAUGCUUAAGCUACUAUGCAAGAAGAUUCUACUUUUAUUACGUUACAUUGUAUAUGAUUCAAGGCCCUUGGUUGAGUGGAAUAGAAAAACAAGAUUCAUGUAGCCCAAGUAGUUGGAACAAGGCUUUGUUGACUUGACAUUUCAUUUCAACAUGAAUGGUCAUUUGAUUAUGUCUAUGUACUUCACCAAUUGCUUUUUUAUCAUGACUUCUAACUUCGGUUUGAUUGAUUCCAAAUUCUAUGUUUUAAGGUUGUUCGAUUUUGGCCGACAAAAGGUGCUUUUGGUUUUGUAGCUUACAAGUAUCAUUUAAGGCGGCUUGAACGACGACAGCCCAAGUUGACCAAUCCUCAGGUUAUCAACUAUUUGUUAGAACUCAACAGUUCAGUUUUAUGACUUUUCCUAAAGAUAAAGAUCAUACCUACCCUAUGGUCAGUAUUGGCCAGUCUUAUUACCGAUACAUGUGACCUCGCGUGUAUAAUUUUUAGUUCAUGAUUGUACAAUUCUGCUCAUGUAUUACCCAUAUAUAUAUAUAUAUAUAUUCUGCUCAUUUAUUGGUUUUCUUUUUCUUGCAACCAAGUGAUCAUACCCAAUUUUAUGCUGUAGUUGAUAUUGCACAUGGUAAUUGGAUUCUAGGAGAUUUCUGGGAAAGAAGUUCUGGGACCAUAGAAUUACUGUUUAAAGUCCCAAUCUAAUUUUCAUGGCCUAACAUGAUGUGGUGAUGUUGGAAAGGAUGUUUGAUUCUAAAACUAAGAAGGCAUGCUGGAUCUAUAAAUCUGUCUUUCCUCAGUUUCAUUGGAAACAUCUUACAUAAUGAAAAAUGUUGCAGAUGAGUGUGUGUCAGUGAUUUUCUGAAGGUCAUGAAUUUGAGAAACCAAACGAUGGCCAAGCUUUAAACCUUAUGAAUUCAUGUGCAGUGGCAGUGCUUGAAGAGUUUCAGGAUAUAGUCUUUUCAUAUGGUGUUAGUGACGAGUACAGCUUUGUUUUGAAGAAGGAUUCUCAACUCUGUCAGAGGCAUGCCAGGUUCUCUUCUGUCAUUUUCUUUUAUUCACAUGAUACUGUGCACUUAGAGGAAAUUUUUGAAUGACUUGCAUGAAGUUUUCUAGGAUUGAGAUCUCUUAGAUGUUAUGGUUAUGAAAUUGUGAACAGUCCUGUUAAAUUCAAACACCUUUUGUAUC